rnacentral:rRNA from 1 species
UACGUAGGGGGCAAGCGUUGUCCGGAUUUAUUGGGCGUAGAGAGCGUGUAGGCGGUUUGGUAGGUCCGUUGUGAAAACUCGAGGCUCAACCUCGAGACGCCGAUGGAAACCAUCAGACUAGAGUCCGGAAGAGGAGAGUGGAAUUCCUGGUGUAGCGGUGAAAUGCGCAGAUAUCAGGAAGAACACCCGUGGCUAAGGCGGCUCUCUAGUACGGUACUGACGCUGAGACGCGAAAGCGUGGGGAGCGAACAGG